AUGAACGCUGGCGGCGUGCCUAAUACAUGCAAGUCGAGCGAACGGACGAGAAGCUUGCUUCUCUGAUGUUAGCGGCGGACGGGUGAGUAACACGUGGAUAACCUACCUAUAAGACUGGGAUAACUUCGGGAAACCGGAGCUAAUACCGGAUAAUAUUUUGAACCGCAUGGUUCAAAAGUGAAAGACGGUCUUUCUGUCACUUAUAGAUGGAUCCGCGCUGCAUUAGCUAGUUGGUAAGGUAACGGCUUACCAAGGCAACGAUGCAUAGCCGACCUGAGAGGGUGAUCGGCCACACUGGAACUGAGUCACGGUCCAGACUCCUACGGGAGGCAGCAGUAGGGAAUCUUCCGCAAUGGGCGAAAGCCUGACGGAGCAACGCCGCGUGAGUGAUGAAGGUCUUCGGAUCGUAAAACUCUGUUAUUAGGGAAGAACAUAUGUGUAAGUAACUGUGCACAUCUUGACGGUACCUAAUCAGAAAGCCACGGCUAACUACGUG
rnacentral:rRNA from 1 species